GAUUGUUAUGGGUGAUGCCUCGGUUUAAUUCGCGAUGAAGGACGAAUCAUAACUCGAUAAUUGGAGUGAUCUGUGAUCUUUCAAACUCUCAUCUCUGAACACAUGCAAAACAUCCUCUAGGCAUGUUAUUAGAUUCAAUGGAAGGUGAUACUAUAAACACAACGUAUUACGAUUUCCUAUGUAUCACAUUGAGAGAUUAUCUAACGUAGUUUCAUGAAAAUUCGACUACACAUAUCUAUCGUCUUUGCAUCAUAUAAGUAGAACCCACUGAAUUUAAGCAUAUUAAUAAGUGGAGGAAAAGAAAACAACAGUGAUUACCUUAGUAGUGGCGAACGAAAAGGUGCCAGCACGUAAAAUAUUUCGAAGGAAUUUGUCUUUUACGGAUUAUUAUGGUGAGAUGCUUACGAAGUUUCAUUGGAAUUUGACGCUUAAAGUGGUGAUAGUCCACAUCGUAAGCAUCACUCUAUUCGAUUGCUAAUUAUUGAGUAGGGUUCUUUCAAAUUGGAGUCUGAAUAGUAGGUAACUUCCUACUAAUGCUAAAUAUCUAUUAAGCCCGAUAGAGCAACAGUACCGUGAGGGAAAGGUGGAAAGACAGCUCGAAAGCUAGUGAAAAGACUUGAAACCAUAACAGUAGAAGGCUAUAUCAAAUACGAAAUAUUUAAUACCGUGGUGUUAGAUGUUCAUGUGACCGUUUGUGUCAAAACAUACCUGCAUAACAUAUUUGUUUAGCGCCCGUCUUGAAACACGGACUGAGGAGUCAUUUACUAUUGCAAGUUGACCAUGCUUCUGGCAUGCAAGCGCCAUGAGCAAUGUUGAAUGGACCCGAAAGGUGGUGAACUAUUCUUGAGAAAGUUGACGUCAGAGGAAACUCUGACUGAAGACUUGUGUGUUACUGACGUGCAAUUCGUUCAUUUUACUCGUGAAUAGGGGCGAAAGACUAAUCGAACCACCUAGUAGCUGGUUCCCCCCGAAGUUUCUCCUAGGAUAGCGGGCGAGGCUUCUUAUCAUGUAUAGUAGAGCAAUGUUUGGCGGAAACGGGCUUGAAUUGGCUUGACCGACUCACAAACUACAAACGUACAUCCGUUCUGAUGAUUAAUCUAUCAGUACUGUAGAAAAACUCGCUUCGUGGACCGUUUUUGGUAAGCAGAUACGGUGCUUUGGAAUGCUCCAAGCGUGAUGAUAAGGUAUACUAUUACCGGUUUACUGCUCUUAAAAGGUGUUAAUACAUUCAGACAGUCCGACGGUGGCCAUGGAAGUUGGAAUCCGCUAAGGAGUGUGUAACAACUCACGGACCGAAUGUAUUAGCCCUUAAAAUUGACUGUGCUUAAACCGUUGAGCCGAAACAUCAUAGAUCAUAUUUUUUUAUGGUUUUGUAGGGGGGUGUGUCUGUCGUAUAGAAGGUUUUCUGCGAGGAAGACUGGAACUUCAGGCAGUGCAGAUCUUAGUAGUAGUAGCAGUGUUUAAGUAUUAUCCUUAAAGAUGGAUGUAGAAAAGGUUUUCAUAGACACAUCGUUUGACUAUGAGUGAGUCGAUCUUAACACAUUAAUUAUUGUGGAAAAGGGAAAGGGUUUAUAUUCCCUUACUUGCAUAUUCGCUUAAAGAUGGUAACAUAUUGAUCUUUCACGUGUCUCCAAGUUCUCGGGUAUGUGCGUUUUCUAUGCACUAUAACUAUAUGAGUUGUGUUGAAAAGGAUAGACCUAAGAUACACAAAUAAUAUAGGAAAUAUAACCAUUGCGGUUAACCCGUUGUUCUUAGAGAGCUUUAAGUGUGAGAUGGUUAGUGAUAGGCAAAUCGUACCAACAACCGCAUCAGGUCUCUAAGGUUCAUAACCUUUCGUUUAUGGAAUAAAAUAGGUGAGGGAAAUCGGCAAAUUAGAUCUGUAACCUUGGAAAAAGGAUUGGCUCUGCGGGCUUUCUUUUAUAUGACAUUACAUGACAUUUAUUCGUGACUCUGUUAUGGAUGAAUAUGUUAAGUUUUUGAUUAGAAAGAGUUGUGCCAUAGUAGAACUGAGACAACGAGGGGAAUCCGACAGUUUAACUAAAACCAAGCAUUCUGCUAGUGUCUAUUACUGAAACACAGAAUGUGAAUUCUGCCCGGUGCUUUGAAUGUCAAUGUGAGGAGACUCAUAUAAGCGCGGGUUAGCGUAACUAUGACGCUUUCAACGUAGCAAAAUGCCUCGUCAUCUAAUUAGUGACUCGCAUGAACGGAUUAAUGAGAUUCCUACUGUCCCCAUCUAUUUUCCAGCGAAACUACAGGUCAGGGAACGGGCUGGCCUUUGACAGAACGGCAAGAAGACCCUGUUGAGGUUGACUCUAGCUAGUUUUUGUACAGUAGCUCAAGCAGUGUAGUGUAUGUGGGAGCCUCGGCGAAAGUGAAACACCACAAUGUUUGAAGCCGCUGAACUUACUCUUUCACAUCUAGUAAUGCUAUCAAGCAAAAUUUGGUUCAAAAGAGGACAUUCACUGGUUGGGAGUUUGGCUGGGGCGGUACAUCUGUUAAAAGCCACCACAGGUGUCCAAAGGCUAUCUCAAUAAGAACAGAAAUCUUAUGUGGACUAAAAGGAGAAAAGAUAGCUUUAUUCAAUCGUUAAUAAGCCGAUUGAAUUGUGAAAGCAUGGCCUAUCGAUCCCUUCGAGGAGCAGAAGUUGCGCCGAGGGGUGUCUGAAAACUUACCACAGGGAUAACUGAUUUGUGGCAGCCAAGCGUUCAUAGCGACGUUGCUUUUUGAUCCUUCGAUGUCGGCUC
rnacentral:rRNA from 1 species